GUGAAUCAUCAAAUUUUUGAACGCAAAUUGCACUCCCUGGUAUUCCGGAGAGUAUGCCUGUUUGAGGGUCAGUUUAAAUAAAAAUCGGUGUGUUGCUGCUUUGUGACGCUCCGGGGUUGGGGUCAUCUUUAUAUCCUUCAGGUAUUAAGAGGCUUAAAAUUGACUUUUUUUGCGCGUUUUAGAUUUUCAUAAAUACUUUUGAUUAUUCGUCUAUUUUAAUGCGCAAAAUCCUACUAGUUAC
rnacentral:misc_RNA from 1 species